GGAUAGUUCCUUGAACCGCAUGGUUCAAGGAUGAAAGACGGUUUCGGCUGUCACUUACAGAUGGACCCGCGGCGCAUUAGCUAGUUGGUGAGGUAACGGCUCACCAAGGCGACGAUGCGUAGCCGACCUGAGAGGGUGAUCGGCCACACUGGGACUGAGACACGGCCCAGACUCCUACGGGAGGCAGCAGUAGGGAAUCUUCCGCAAUGGACGAAAGUCUGACGGAGCAACGCCGCGUGAGUGAUGAAGGUUUUCGGAUCGUAAAGCUCUGUUGUUAGGGAAGAACAAGUGCAAGAGUAACUGCUUGCACCUUGACGGUACCUAACCAGAAAGCCACGGCUAACUACGUGCCAGCAGCCGCGGUAAUACGUAGGUGGCAAGCGUUGUCCGGAAUUAUUGGGCGUAAAGGGCUCGCAGGCGGUUUCUUAAGUCUGAUGUGAAAGCCCCCGGCUCAACCGGGGAGGGUCAUUGGAAACUGGGAAACUUGAGUGCAGAAGAGGAGAGUGGAAUUCCACGUGUAGCGGUGAAAUGCGUAGAGAUGUGGAGGAACACCAGUGGCGAAGGCGACUCUCUGGUCUGUAACUGACGCUGAGGAGCGAAAGCGUGGGGAGCGAACAGGAUUAGAUACCUUGGUAGUCCACGCCGUAAACGAUGAGUGCUAAGUGUUAGGGGGUUUCCGCCCCUUAGUGCUGCAGCUAACGCAUUAAGCACUCCGCCUGGGGAGUACGGUCGCAAGACUGAAACUCAAAGGAAUUGACGGGGGCCCGCACAAGCGGUGGAGCAUGUGGUUUAAUUCGAAGCAACGCGAAGAACCUUACCAGGUCUUGACAUCCUCUGACAACCCUAGAGAUAGGGCUUUCCCUUCGGGGACAGAGUGACAGGUGGUGCAUGGUUGUCGUCAGCUCGUGUCGUGAGAUGUUGGGUUAAGUCCCGCAACGAGCGCAACCCUUGAUCUUAGUUGCCAGCAUUUAGUUGGGCACUCUAAGGUGACUGCCGGUGACAAACCGGAGGAAGGUGGGGAUGACGUCAAAUCAUCAUGCCCCUUAUGACCUGGGCUACACACGUGCUACAAUGGACAGAACAAAGGGCUGCGAGACCGCAAGGUUUAGCCAAUCCCACAAAUCUGUUCUCAGUUCGGAUCGCAGUCUGCAACUCGACUGCGUGAAGCUGGAAUCGCUAGUAAUCGCGGAUCAGCAUGCCCGCGGUGAAUACGUUUCCCGGGCCUUGUACACACCGCCCGUCACACCACGAGAGUUUGCAACACCCGGAAGUCGGUGAGGUAACCUUUAAU
rnacentral:rRNA from 1 species